rnacentral:rRNA from 1 species
UACGGAGGGUGCGAGCGUUAUCCGGAUUCACUGGGUUUAAAGGGUGCGUAGGUGGGUCUGUAAGUCAGUGGUGAAAUCUCCGAGCUUAACUCGGAAACUGCCAUUGAUACUAUAGGUCUUGAAUUAUCUGGAGGUGAGCGGAAUAUGUCAUGUAGCGGUGAAAUGCUUAGAUAUGACAUAGAACACCAAUUGCGAAGGCAGCUCACUACGGAUAUAUUGACACUGAGGCACGAAAGCGUGGGGAUCAAACAGG